GAGGGUAUAGCUCAGUGAUAGUGUGUGCUUACCAUACAUGGGGUCCUGGGUUCAAUCCCCAGUACCUCCA
rnacentral:tRNA from 1 species